GUCUUUAGCUUGGUCGGGUUUCAUUGUGUCAGCGCUGAUGAUGGAGUUUCCACUCUCUCCGAGCAGAAAUGUAGGAAGCUGAAUUUUGUGAUGCCGAGCAAUGAUGGAGUCCCUUGAGAUCGUUUUCCAUCUCAUUGUUGUCUAUGUUAUUCUGCUCCAGUCAUUUGGAGUUUUCCUUGCAGCUCAGUCAGAGUUGAUUUGUUCUCAUCAACCAAUCGUAGCCUUGGCUGGUGAUGAUGUCAUUCUACCAUGUCACCUUGAACCUGCCAUCAGUGCCGCUGACUGGAGAGUGGAGUGGACCAAACCUGGUUUGGACCCAAAGAAUAUCCACGUCCACCAAGAUGGACGACUGGAGUAUUGGACUCAAAAUCCUUCUUAUAAUUUCCGAACACGAGU